rnacentral:rRNA from 1 species
UGGGGAAUUUUCCGCAAUGGGCGAAAGCCUGACGGAGCAAUACCGCGUGAGGGAGGAAGGCUUUUGGGUUGUAAACCUCUUUUAAUAAGGAAGAAGAAAGUGACGGUACUUAUUGAAUCAGCAUCGGCUAACUCCGUGCCAGCAGCCGCGGUAAUACGGAGGAUGCAAGCGUUAUCCGGAAUCAUUGGGCGUAAAGCGUCCGCAGGUGGUUCAUCAAGUCUGCUGUUAAAGACAGAAGCUCAACUUCUGAGGAGCAGUGGAAACUGGUGAACUAGAGUACGGUAGGGGUUGAGGGAAUUCCCAGUGUAGCGGUGAAAUGCGUAGAUAUUGGGAAGAACACCAGUGGCGAAGGCGCUCAACUGGGCCGUAACUGACACUCAGGGACGAAAGCUAGGGUAGCGAAAGGGAUUAGAUACCCGUGUAGUCC